UUCAAAUCCCACAGAAGCCAACUUUGCCAUUCAUCCUUUUGUGGUCAAUACAAUAAAGUACAAGUCAAGUACUAAGGUCAAUGGUAUCAAGUAAACCCUUCCCUUCAAACAUUUCUGGUUUUGUACCAAAAUCAUAAACUAUUAAUAUUAUUGUCACGUCAAGGGGGCAAGCUAGCAGAAUUGUUAGAGAGUUGGAAAAUAUCAUGUGAUAUUUGUUUUAGCUCAACGAUUUUGAGUUCAAAUCCCACCAAUGUCAACUUAGCCAUUCAGCCAUCUGAGGUCAAUAAAAUAAAAUACCAGUCAAGCACUGAGGUCAAUAAAAUCAACUGCUUCUCUCCCCUUAAACUCCAGGUUUUAUGCCUAUGUUGGAAAUAAUAGUUGCCGCAUAAAUGUAAAUAAUUAUAAAAUUCCAGAUAAAAAUGAUUUACAGUAUUUUUGUCUGUCCAUUAAUUGACCAG